UUUUUCCAUUUCAUUCUUUUUCUUUCUUAGAAAAAAUCUUGUACUGAUCUCCACUUGUAAAUACCGCGGUGUGCAAUAAAAGGAAGGAUGCCAUGGAUCCUCCAUGUAAGUCUUCAAUGUUUAUAUUAAUUGCAUGUUAAAUUUACAUGUUUACAUAUAUGUGAAUCCAUACACAUAUAUAUAUGGUAAUAGCAUAAUAACAAUUUGCAUGUAAUAUAAAUGUUUUAGCUUAUAGCUUAACGAUUUGUUUGUGUCAAAGUCAGUCUUGCUCUAUAUUUGGUAUCAAAGCCAUGGACUAUCUUUGGUAUUAGAGCCAUGGACUAGUUUUUUAAGUUAAAGAAUCAUAAGAUCUAUUCCAGGAAUAUGGAAGUUUAAAACAGUAAUAUAGAAGGUUGUUGAUCAAAAAUUUGAUACUUUAAGUUUCUUUAUCUAUAGGGUUGUUGAUCAGAAAUUUGAUCUAUUUCAGUCUCUUUAUCUAUAAGGUUGUUGAUCAGAAAUUUAAUCUAUUUCAGUCUCUUUAUCUGAAGGAUUGUUGAUCAGAAAUUUGAUCUAUUUCAGUCUCUUUAUCUGAGGGUUGCUGAUAAAAAAUUUGAUAUAUUAGAUUAAUUUCAGUAAGAUUAAUUUCUAUCUAGUGGGACGUCACCUAAGUCGCGUAAUCCAGUGGAAUGUUAUUGUUGCCGUGUGUUGGCGUUGUUAGUUCCGUAUUCCGGCUGUAAAGCGUUGACAGACGUGCUAGAGAAAGAUUAAUUUGAAAGAGAUUAAUUUGGUAGAUCAUCCGAAUGUCCGAUCCAAAGGUAUCGAUUUGAUUUGGUAGAUCAUCUGGAUGUCCGACCUAUAGAAGGUAUCAAUUUGAUCUGGUAGUUCAUCCGAAUUUUCGAUCUUAUUAGCUCUAAAGAAAUCUUAGAUAUCAUCCGAAUGUCCGAUCUUAUUAGUCUUACAGAUCUUAUGCAAUUCUAAAAUGUUAAUUAAAAAAAGAGUAAAAAUCUUUAAAACGGGGAAAAAUUUAAGUCAUAGCUUUUUCUACACAUUGGUUUGGUUAGUCCCGAGUAAGGAUUAGAAAACUUGGGUUUAAGUUUUUUGAGAUGUUGGAUAUAUGUUUCCAGUCUAUAUAGAAAUUAAGAACCAAAUAGCCUAUUACCAGUAUAGGAUUUUAGGUCUUAGACAGCUAAAAACAGAAAGAUUAGUAUAUAUGGACAUUAAUGGACAUAACAGAACAUAUAGAGAAAUAACAGAAAAAUAAUUUUAUGACAACAAAAUAGCUAAAAAACAACAGAAGAUUAAAAAUCUUGAAGAUCAGCUAGCAAGAUUAAGUAUCUAAUAUGAAUCAGGAGAAAUACAUCCCGAAAGAAUUAGAAAUUAGCCAGAUUAAGUAUAUAAUAUGAAUCAAGAAAAACAUAUCCAAAAAAAUUAGAACUUAGCCAGUUAAGAAAAAGAAUAGACCAUCGACAACAUUUAAAAUAUUUAAGAGUAAGAAUUUAUCAGAAAUAUUUACAGCCUACCAACCAGAUAGAAAAAUAUUAUAAUAUUCCUAUCCAGAAUAUGACAAAAAUAGUUAAACAGCUUAAAUUAAAAUAUCACAUAUAAUGGAUAUUACAGUAUUUUCCCAGACCACUAGAAAAGCAGAAAUACCACCAGUUGAGAGUCUACAAUAAAAAAUAUAAGAAAAUAAACAGAUAAUUAAGACAUUAAUGAAAAUCAGAAAAACAAGACUUAAGAUGUAUAAAGAUUUAUUUAUCAAUAUUACUCCAGGAAUAUUAAGUACAGAAAGUCAAGGAAUAAAUGCCAGACUAAGAGCCAAUUGGUAUAUAAGCCAAUUAAUCCAGGAUAUAACAGACAACCAACAUUCAUGAACCAUAUACCUAAAGCUUUAGCCAGAUAUCCUAAAGAAAUUAGAAAACAUAAUAUAGCUAUAGAAGAAAAUAUAAAGUAUUAUAAAAGAAAUAUUAAAAGAAUAGAAAAAGAUUUAAAUAAGAAAAUUAUAGAUAUUGAUAAUUACUUAUAACAGAAAGCAGAUCUACUAAUAGAAUAUAGAAAGGUAUAACAAAUAUUUUAUUAAUACUUAUACUAGACUCCUUAACCAGUUAGCAGUUUAAAAUGAGUUGUCCAGAAUUUAAAAGACUAAGAGAUUUACUACAGGAAAGAAGACUUGUACUACAGAAACUAGUAAAUUAUAAGUUUGACUAUAUAACAUAUACUAGAUCACCAGGAAAAAACCAGUAUAAUCAUAUAGAAAAAUAUUAUAACCAUAAAAUAGAAAUGACUAGGAUAAGACUAGGAGAAUAUAUUAGUUAGAAUGCAUAAAAGAAAUACUAUAAUAAAAUCCUUUAAAGAAGAAUUAAACAGAAUAAAAAUAGAAGGUAGAUAUACUCCAAUAAAGGACAAAUUUCCUAAACUAAAUACUAUGAAUAAAGUAUGCCAGAUAUAUUAUUAUAAUACUAUUAUAGAAUACAGAAACGUACAAGAAACCCUUAGCAGGUUAGAAUCCAGAGAAAAAUACAUUCUUAGAAAUUUAGCAAAAACAAAACAUACUAGUAUGAAUGCUUAUAUACAAGUUUUAGAAGCCAUUGAAUCAUAUUUGAAAAUUGGUUUCUUAUAUCCAGUACAAACAUACAGUAGAAGCCAUUGAAUCAUUAGAAAAAUAUCUAACAGAUUACAUAUUACCAGUACUUAAUUUAGACCUAAGACAUCUUAAUAGAUCUAUAUGUUAGAAGAUAGUCUUGAAUUAAGAUUACUUCAGAUCCUUUACCAGCUCCCAAAAGUUCCAACAUAUAGUCUUCCUACAGAAAAAGAAUUAACAGCAGUAGAAUAUAAGAUUGUCAGAUAUGGAAAGUGUAAGAUAGGAGAUCCAGAAGAUAUAAAAAUAUAAAGAUAUAAUAUACUUAAAGGGUAUAUUAAACAUAUUAAACAGAAUACUCAAGAAGUCACCAUUAUUAACAGAACUUUAUUUUAUCAUCUAGAUACUUUAAAGCAAGAUUGUUUAAAGUUAAUAGCAGAAAAUCUACUAGAACCUUACCAGUAUAUAGAAGUAGAAAAUAAUAAUUUAGUUUUAAAAAUAAAUAAUGAAGUACUACAGAAAACAUUCCAAAAAAAAGAACCAGAAAACUUAAAAAAAGUCUUAGACCAAAGUAUAACUAUUCAAAAACCAGAAGACAUAGAAGUUUCUACUAAAAAAGAAACAACAUAAACAACAUUAUUAGAAGAUGAGAAUUUUCUUAAUAAAAAAGAAAUAUUAUCAUCAAUUGAUCAAACAUUUGAAAAAGAACUUUUAGAGUUAGUAGACAAGUAUAUUCUUAAUAAAACAGAAAUACCAUCAGAAUUAGAUAAAUAUAUUAAUCCAGAAUUGGUAGAUACACCAGGCAUACCAUUUCUAGAAAAAGAAAAGAGUAUUUCAGAUAAACCAGAAACCUUGGAAAUAGAAAUAUCCAAGAAUACAGAUAAACAUCUAUAGUCCUUUUAGUCUCCAGUAAAAUCAUAUUUAAAUGAUUUUAUGAUUAAUCUUCCUAAGAUUGAUCUUAAAACAAAUAAAAUAAAAGUAUUUUCAGAAAUCAGGAAUUAUCAAACAUACUUUGAUAAUAAUAUUAUAACCAAGUUAUUAGAAUAUUAUUCUAACCAUAUUACUCGAUCAUUAAAACCAGUAUCUUUACAUCAACAAUUAUUCUAGAAGACAGAAAUUACAAAUUGUAAUAUUAUUCCAUGGUCAAUACAAUUACCAGUUUUAUUUCUAAAAUAUUUAUUAACAACAAUAUAUUUUCAGAUUAUUUUAUUCUUACCAGAAAUAUUUAUGAAAAUAGAUUUUUGCUUAAAUAGUAUAAUAAGAUUAAAUCAGUCAUCAUCAGAAUACCAUAGUAUUCUUCCUCUCCAUAAGCCAGAAACCCACUUUGUUAAUUAUCACAGUAUAUUUCCUACAGGUAAACAUAUUACUUAUAAACAGGUUAAACAAUUAUAUCCAGAGUUAAAUAGUAAAGUUUAUAGUAUUAACUUAGGAUUAGACAUUAGAAGAAUAGAACAUACAAUACUAAAAUGUUUUAGUAUUAUUACUUCUCCAAAUUCAGAUUAUAAGUUUAAAGAUAAACUUGUAACAACCAGUAAGACCAGUAAGUAUAAUACUUACCAACAGAUUAUUUUUUUCUUACCAGUAGUAGAAGAUAAUUUAGACUUUCACAGUAAUACUAUUAGAACUCUAAACCAAAAAUUACUAAAUUACUUUAGUAAAAUUAUCCCUUUCAACUUCUUUAAUAAGUUAAGAGAUAGUUUACUUCAGACCAGUAAAAAAUAUCAACAGUUUACUAAAACAGAUUAUUUUACUCCAGUAAAUAUCUUUAAUAAAGAUAUUCUUACCAAUCUUCACAGAAAAUCACUAAGGAUUGUAAGAAAGCAGUCUUUUCUUAAGAAAUAUAUUUACUUAAAUACUAGAUAUUGAAAAGAUCAUAAGUUUAGUAAUAAACAAAAAAAUCUUUAUACUAAGCCAGAUAGAAAUAUUUUUUAUAAAUAAACAAAAAAGAAGUAUACACAGGUCCCAAGAUCGAAACUUAAAAAGAUUUCCAGUCUAGAAUACCAGAAGGAUUAUAAGAUUCUAGAAGAGAAAGAAGUUGUUCUAGAAAAAAUAGAAACUGUAGCUUCUAUCCGUCUUAUAAAUACCCAGCUUAAUGAUCUAGUAAAGCAUACUUUACCAGCCUUAGAUAAUACUCUUCCAGAUAAACCCCCUCUGAAACCUAAUAUAAUAGGUUCAGUAGCAGAAUCUUUACAAGAAGUUAUGAAAAUAAAUUAAUUUUCACAUUAUUAACUUCAUUUAUUACAUCAUAGAUGACAGAUCCUCUAAGGCAUUCUUCGCCAAGGAAUAACAUCAUACAUCAAGGUUUGCCGCCUAAAGGCUCAGCACCAAUACCAGUUUAUGCCAGUUCACACAACUCAUAGUAUUCAUUCACUACAUCUAAGAAAAUGCAUACUUCACAGUCAUCACAGCAUAUCAUGCAUUCUAUUCCCCAAAAGAAUUAUGAAAUUCUUUCCAUAGGGAACCAACAGCUUUAUUCAUAUCCAGUAAUAGAAAAGUUUCUUUUCAAACCUUUGUCAGGAAUAGAACUUUCAAAAGAAUAGAAAUGUGUCAUUGAUAAUCUUUGGAUAUCACAUGGCAAAAACUAGAAACAGUUUUUAGCAUCACUCAAUGCUGGUACUGUGACAACCCGAAAAAUUAGAUUGUCCAGAAUUUAAGAUUUAAAAAAUUAGUUAUUAAUAAAAUGAAUUUUUAUUAAUAAUAUUAUGUGCUAUAUGUUUAUUAAUCGUUCUAGAACCUAUGAUGAUUAUAAUACGGGAGGAUUCUGGCUACAAGCUAGACUGAACGAGUAAGAAUUUUCAAGAUGGAAAUAAAAAAAUUUCGAGAACAAAAAUAUUUCCAGGGAAAAAGACGAAAUAGGCACUAUUUACCCAAUAAAACCCUAAGGGUUAGGGUUUGAAUAACCUAAGCCUUUCUGAGAGUUCGGUAUGUUGAAAUGACAUUCCGUCGACAGAUUUGCCUCUAAAAAAUGUGCAAAAAUUGGAUAAAAUAAAAAUGACAAAAAGUACUGUUAUGUACUUUUCAUUCGUUUAACUAUGUUAGGGGAAAACGUGAAAGAAAACGCUUAACGUUGAAAAGUGCUUUUUAGUUUUUCGGAGAUCUUAAGAAUAAGUAAAAGUUAAUCGGUAAAGGAAAGACGAAAUAUCCAAAAAUAUUUGGAUUUUGAAAAUCGCAGUUUUUGAACUGUCGGAUGAAUUUUGCAAGACGGAAGCACGAAGCUUCCAAGGGAAGCUUUGUGAAUAGUAAGGAGGUGGAGUAAGGAGGUGGGAAUAGUAAUUUAGGGGUAAAAUGACUAUUUUGCCCCUAGUUUGGAAAAUCUAUAAAAGGAGAGCUAAAUCUCAUUUGUUGGUAAUUUUUGUAAUUCACCAACAUUUGAGUGAGAGUGAGAGAGAGAGUUUGGAUGAGGAAGAAGAGGAAAAGUUGGCUUGUGAGCAAACUUUGUCCGACGGAAUGAGAUUAAAGGAGAAAGGUAAUCCAAAACCUAACUUAUAUAUGAUUUUCUUUAAGUUUUAUAUGUUAAAAACAUAACUUAAUGAAAAUAGAAGUAAAAGAUGUAAAGAAUGAUUUUCAUAUGGUUGAAAUCAUGAGAAAAUGAAGAAAUAAGAAUUAGAAGUUUAUUUUAUAAAUUUCUUAAGGAAGUAUAAGUUUCGUAAUGAAUUUGAGAGAUCCGAAUGAAUCAUAUGAACGAUUCGGUGAAAUAAGUAAGGAAUGGUGUUUAAUAACAUCAAAUUCCAAGAAAAAGUGAAAUCGUAAUCAAAAUAUCGAUUAAAAAUGAAGAACGAACGAAGAACACGAAGAACAUGUGAUACCCCAAAAUCUAGGUACUUCAUUCCCUCAAGAUUUGGUGUUCACUUAAUAAAAACAUGCAUGUCUAACUACCCAAUCAUAAUAAAAUUGAAUAAUAAACCUUCCCAUUAAAGGAUUACAUUAAUAAAAAUCUCCCAGGUUAUCUAACCUUUGAAUACAAACAUCAUAUGCGGAUAACUAAAUAAGUUUAUUACAAUAAUUAAAAUGAAAUCUGACAACAAAAUGUCAAUAUGAUUACAAGUCUUCAAUACUUGUUCAUCUUUCCCUUUCCUUUACUGGUGCUAGGUACAUCAACCUUCUCAACUUUAGCUGUAAUAAUUAUAUAAGCAAGAGUGAGCAAACAAGGCUCACUUGAAAUGACAAUGAAUAAAACUUUACAAUAAUUGCCAGAUAAUAGGCUCAAUAGAACUGAACAAUAUGCUCUAUUAAUGAUAAUCAAAAUUCUGAAAUAUAUACAUCUGAGGGUCAUAAGACCAUGAACUAUGUCCAUAUUUAUAAGUAAUCUUUCAACUUAAACUUUAAUAGUCAUAAGACUAUAGGGACUCCUCAUACUUAGGGGGAUCAUCCCUUCGUACAAUGUAUUGUGCACAAACAUUUCAACGCUAUGCGUAAAUUAUCCCCCCAAUAAUAGGGUUGUUCAUCUCAGCAUUUAGAAUACGAGUCUGCACCAAAGUAAGUUUGGUUUGGAUAAGUUCAAGGUAAUUAUCCCCGACCUUUCCUGCUUAAAGCAUCUGCAACCACAUUCGCUUUGUCUAGAUGAUAGAAGAUCUCACAAUCGUAAUCUUUUAUCAAUUCCAUCCAUCUUCUUUGACGCAUAUUCAGGUCCUUCUGAGUGAAAAUAUACUUCAGACUCUUAUGGUAUGUGUAGAUCUCACACUUUUCUCCAUAGAGAUAGUGUCUCCAUAUCUUCAGAGCAAAUACUACUGCAGCCAACUCUAAAUCAUGAAUCAGAUACCCUUUCUCGUAGUCCUUCAGUUGUCUUGAUGCAUAUGCAAUAACCUUGCCGUUUUGCAUAAGAACACAACCCAAUCCUUUAUGUAAGGCAUCACUAUAUACCACAAAGUUUCAUGUAUUAUCUGGUAAUGACAACACAAGUGCCACACUUAACUUCUUUUUCAAGUCUUGAAAACUCUCUUCACACUUCUCCGUCCAAACAAAUUUUACAGCUUUCCUUGUUAAAUUUGUUAACGGCGUGGCAAUCUUAGAAACAUCCUGAAUAAACCUUCUAUAAUACCCGGCCAGUCCCAAGAAACUCCUCACCUCCGAAGGUGUUCUUGGUUGUUCCCAAUUGAUUACGGCCUCAACUUUUGAUGGAUCCACUGAAAUCCCAUAAUUGUCAAUCACAUGUCCAAGAAAUUAUACACGAUCUAGGCAAAAUUCACACUUAGAGAAUUUUGCGUACAACUUUUCUUUUCUUAGGGUUUCCAAUGUUAAACAUAAAUGUUCCUUGUGUUCUUCUUGAGAUUUAGAGUACACCAGAAUGUCAUCAAUGAAUACCACCACAAACUUGUCUAAAAAUGGUUUAAACACCCUGUAAAUCAAAUCCAUAAAUGCAGCAGGGGCAUUGGUCAAUCCAAAAGACAUCACUAGAAACUCGUAAUGUCCAUACCGAGUUCUAAAUGUUGUCUUUGGUACAACUUCCUUUCUUACUUUCAGUUGAUGAUACCCACUUCUCAAAUCUAUUUUUGAGAAAUAUCUAGCACCCUCCAAUUGAUCAAACAAGGCAUCUAUUCUUGGUAAUGGAUAUUUAUUCUUAAUAGUGACUUUAUUUAAUUCUCUAUAAUCAAUGCAAAGACGCAUCGACCCAUCCUUCUUUUUCACGAAUAACACCGACGCUCCCCACGGUGAUACACUCAUCUGAAUAUACUUCUUGGCUGACAGCUCCUGCAGUUGUAUCAUUAGUUCCUUCAUCUCCACCGGAGCCAUUCUGUAUGGGGAUUUCGAUAUUGGAGCGGUUCCUGGUGCUAAAUCGAUCACGUACUCAAUUUCUCUAUUAGGCAGAAGUCCUGGCAAAUCCUUUGGGAACACGUCUACAAAUUCCCUAACCACUGGUAUCUCUUCCAGUUUCACACCCUUCUUCUGAGUAUCGACUAUGUAAGCUAAAUAACCCACAUAGCCUUGACUCAACAACUUCUUGGCCUGUAUAAUCAUCAGACAUCUCGCAUGGCUAGGCAAUUUGCUACCAUAGAAAACUACCUUUGACGGAGUCAUAAGGUUUACGCAUUUCUUUUGGCAAUCAAUUAUCGCUCCAUAAUUGAACAUCCAAUCCAUUCCCAAAAUAACAUCAAACUCUCCGAGUUUUAUCGGAAUUAAAUCUACCACCAUAACAUUUCCCUUAAUGUUCACCCUAAAAUUCUUGUAUACAAACCUAACCGAAAUUACUUCCUUAUUCACAAUUUCUAUGUUGAAAGGGAAAUUCAAUUCUUCACUAGGCAAUCCUAACCUCUUAGCAAAUUCAUCAGAUAUAAAUGAACAAAUAGCACAAGAAUCAAAUAAUACAUAAGCAUCUAUAUCAUUGAUUGGGAUAAUACCUGACACAACAUCCUUUGAUUGCACAGCAUCUUUCACAGUCAUGGUGAAGGUUCUGGCAAUGGGUUUGUUUGAUGUCGUUGUUCCAGCAAUGGCCCAUGUACCUCCACUGCUACCUCCCUUGCUUCCUGUUGUCUCCCUAGCUUUCUUCUUAGGGCACUCACGAGCAAAGUGAUCCUUGGACCUGCACGUGAAGCAAACGUUCUUCUUGGGCUGAUUGCAAUCUGGGGCGAUGUGACCCUCCUGGCCAUAGUUAAAGCAUACAUGUUUCCCCAUUAAGCAUACACCCUUGUGAAACUUUCCCCAUGUAGCACAUGCUUCGAACUUCUUAUUCUGCUGGUUACCCUGUUGAUUUCCAGAACUCACAUUUCCAUUCCAUUUUCUUUUCAGAUUAUUAUUACCGUUUCCACUACCACCACCACCAUUCGUAACCUCUACUUCAUUCUUUUUCUUUUUCUGUUCUUGAUUAAACUUUGUUACUGCCUCGCCUCCACCUUCAGCUAGAAUUGCCUUCUCCAUUACUGCUGUAAAUGUCUUCAGCUGGAACAGGGAGACCCUACUGUACAACCAGGGUUUUAGUCCCUGUUCAAACCUCUUAGCCUUGCGUUCAUCUGUGCUGACUUGAUCUCGCCAACUCGUUAAAUUUUAUGGCAUACUCCGAUACCGUCAUUGAUCCCUGCUUCAAUUCUAAAAAAAUUCACCUCUAGCUGACUCUUCGAACUCUCUGGGAAAUAAGUCUUGAAGAAUAUCUCCUUAAACCUAUCCUAAGUCAUAACCCCUUGUCCUCCUCGAGUUUUAUUGGUCUGCCACCAAUAACUAGCCUCUGCUUUUAACAUGAAUGUUGCAAAAGCAGUCUUCUAAUUCUCCCCUACUCUCGCAACAUCAAACACUUUCAAUAUCUCUAUGAUCCAGGUCUGUGCCUCAACUGGAUUCAUGGACCCACGAAAUUCUGGUGGUCCAACCGCCUUGAAGUCCUUAAACGUUGUAGCUUGAUUCUGCGGUUGAUUCUACAGUGCACCCGUUAGUAACGUCACCAGCUGCUGAAUGUUGGGUAAAAUCUAUAUACGCACAACAUGCAAGUAUACGUGGUCAACAAGUAAUAAAGUGAUAAGUUGAGUAUCGUUGCCACAGAGAUUAAUUAGCAAAAUAGCUUAACUUACAAUUACCAAUCUUCUAUUAACCCUAAUUUUAUUAAACAAAUCAAAUUCAAUGAUUAAAACAAAUGAAAAUAAAAUUAAGAAUACUUAAACUAACAUAAAACAACCACGAAUACCAAAAUCUGAAUUUUCAAACAAUUAAUGGAGAAUUAGACUUAUGAUUUCACCUUAAGCUUCACUUUGAUUUUAACACUUUUAUCCCAAUUCAACGCAUUAUCUCAGUUUAUUAAUUAAGAACACGAACGCAGUACUAACCACCUCUCGAUGCACUAAUACCAUAUUAACUUCAAUCCACAAUUAAGAUAAAAAUCCAUUAAACACCUUAAUCAACUAACCCACUAUAUCUCUAUGUGAAUUACAAUUAAAGAAGGUUGAAGAACAAGUUCUCUAUCUGAUUACAUGCGGUGUCAAGCAUAUCUCUACCUUAACCCAAAUCAGGUUUAAGCUACUAACAAAAUCCUGAACACAUGCUAUAUCAACUAGGUCUAGAGUUGAGUAUCCUCUCUCAAUUCCAUCCAACCCCACAAAGAAUUAUUGAUCAGGCAAUUCAUAGAUCCGAGCAUAAAUUAAUAUAGAUAAACUGAAGAUAACUUAUUAAAUUGGGAAUCAAAGCUUACAAAACCAUCGAUUCACUUAAAGAUCCAUCACAAGCCUAAAAAGUGAAUUAGUUCAUAAUAAAUGAAAUAAACGCUGAAUAAAUCAUAGAAAUCAUUCUUUCAAUUACAAAUAAUAAUCUAACACAAAGAAUAUUAGAAAACACCCUUUACGUAGACUAAAAUUGCAAUCGUCUUGAAAAACUCUUCGAAAUACUCCUCCACUUUUUCUCUCCACAAGCUGACUUUGUCUUUAUACUUUUUUUUCCAGCUUAUAUACCCCAAAUAUUCCCCCAAACUUAGGUUCUUGCCUAAGUUUAGCCUUUACCAGCCAUCCUUGUCAUUCUAGCAAUCGUUCUAGCAUUAUCCUUUAGAGACCACUUACGUACCGGUUUGAACUUAACCAAUUAACACAGAUGUUUGUUAAACGUGCUAUCCUUGUAUACCAGUUUCAAACAAACUCAAGAUUCGAAUCAUAAACGAUCAUUUUGUCACAGUUCUAAUAUUCAUUACUGUAUUUGCUACUUAUUUGACGAUCACAUCAUAGGCCAUAAUAACAUGAAACACAACAUUAAAGGAUUAAAACAACACUAUAAUUACUAACUAACAAAUUAUUAUUUUUAUAUAUAUAUAUAUAUAUAUAUUGAGACAUAACAAAAUGCAAUUGACAAAAUGCAAUAUAUUAAUCUCUACUAUGCAAACCUAAGCUACCAUAAAUGCGCUAAGCUAUCAUGCAAUAUCAAACAUAAAAUGUUAUACAAAAUUAUAAUGACAUAAAAAAAAUAUGCAUCCUAACUAAAAUGCAUGCAAAACAUGUAUUUAAAUCCCCCAAACUUAAGGUGAACAAUGUCCGCAUUGUAUGAUAUAGCAAAAUAAUUGUGAGGACUUCCCUGCUGAUGCUUAAGUCUGAGGAGGUGGUUGUUGUUUUUCAUCAUCUGAGUCACUCGGUGGGAACCUGGGCAGUGGGCCGGGUUGAAGAUAUGGAAAUUGCCCUGCUGGAUUGAAACAUUGGAGAGUUGUGUUCAAUGAGGCAAAAGAGGUGUGCAUAGCCUCAAACAUGUGCUCUUGCCUCAUUGCCAAUCGUCGCAUUUCCCGACGAGUUACCUUGGCAUUUUUUGUCAUUUGAUUUUGGAAAUUAAGGAAUUGAGAUCUGGAUAUAGCAUCGGUCCUUGUUACCUGCUCAUCCCCUUGAUCGGCCAUGUCGUCAUCCUCAUCCCCCGAGGCUUCUGUAGUAUCUUCUCCUUCUGCCGAUGAUGAUGAAAAAAUGAAACCCACUCCACGCGGGUGCGACUCGCCUCCUGCCCACACAGAGUAUCGCGCAAUCAUUCGUGAAUCAAGCUGUGCGAGAGGAAUUUGCGUGGGUUCGUCAUCAGACCAUCUAACUCCUGCUUGACGGCACAACCCACAUAUGAGUGAUGGGUGUGGCAACCCGCCCGAAAAAUUCCCACGUAGGCACCGGCGGAUAGAGAAGCAGAUGAUCGCCCCGACGUCAAUAAUAAAGUCUUGCACAAUGGUGAAUAAAAGCAACGCCUUCUCCUUGGUGACAUCUGAAGUGUGUUGGGACGGAAGCAAUUUUUCACAGAGGAAUGCAUACCAGAUUUUUCCAUAAAGGCUAAGUUUCUUGCUGGGGAACACCGUGCCUCCCUUUCGGCCUUUCAUCCAUGACGUGCCUGGCUUUGUCAUUGUCAUGAUAACUUCAUCAAAAUCCAAAUCAGAAGUGCGUAGAUGCUCGUACUGGCAAUGGCGAGGUACCCUUAGUUGGUAGUAUGUAUUGAUGGCGUCCGCACUAAAUGGCACCAACCGUCCUCGUACAAAAGCUAGGAAUGGCUCUUUGUCCUCAGCAUUAGCAUAGAACUCCUUGAAAAUAUUCACGACGGCUGGUUCUGGGUCCUCGGUGAAUUUCACCCAUCCCUUUUGAUAAAUUUGCUGCAUAAGCUCCCCGUCAUUACCAUCUGGUGCCAAACCCUGCUCCGGUGUAAGAGCUUUGGUGAGCAUGUAAUCAUACCGGUCAGCGGUGACGACACUCACAAACUUUCGACGAUCGAAGGUGCGAGUCGGUUGGGAUGGUUGCGAACUCUCCCCCGUUGGCAUUUUGAUGAUGAUGAAGCCAUUUCUCCCUGUUUGCGUGUAGUGUCCUAACUUUCCCCCAAAUUUUUUAAUUGUACCUCUCUAGCUCACAAGUAUGCAAUUGUUAUGUCUAUUAUGAAGUGUGGUGGAGAGGUUUGGAAGAAUUGGUGUGGUAUUUAUAGAUGGGGGGGUUAGUCUAUCAUUGGUGGAGUGAGGAGGUGGAAAGGUGGAGAGUAGUAAUGGUCUUGGGAAUGUGGGGAAGGUGGGUGGUAGUUAUGGAGUAGUGGGUUAAUGAAAGAGUGGGGGUUUUGGGUAUGGGAGAAGAUUAACAACUGUCGUGUCCCUUCAUCUACCAGGACCCCCGCCCCGGUGGGGGUAUUAUGUUAAAAAGGCCCGCCCCGACGGGGGGUAUUAAGCUUGAGAUUCCCGCCCCGGCAGGGGUUGCCCCUGUCUAUUCCAAUGUUUUGCUUGACUUAGCUUCCUUUUACUGCUUUUAUACUCCAAUUAUGCUUCUUUUCCCAUCCUGCAUUGUGUGAAACAUAAAACUUAGUGAGUAUUGGAUGUCAUGGUAUGUUGUGUGGAGUAUCACGAGAAUUUUAUUUUAUUCUUCUAUCUAUUGCGUCACUAAAACUAUGAUUAAGCAAGUAUGAAUGGAAAAUACGAUAAUAAACUAAAAAUUGGGUUGCCUCCCAAUGAGUGCUUGAUUUUAAGUCUUUCAGCCUGACUACUUCCUGUUUAAGUUGUGUCAACCAACGUGAUGGCGAUCACAUCGGUGUUCGUUUCUCCACCCCAGUAAUGUUUCAGCCGGUGUCCGUUUACUUUGAACAUUUCGAGAGGGUUUCGACUGUAAAUUUCAACUGCCCCGUGAGGGAAUACUUGCUUGACUGUGAAUGGUCCCGACCAUCUUGAUUUGAGCUUUUCGGGGAACAAACGCUGUCGUGAGUUGAAUAAUAGGACUGAUUGGCCCGGCUCGAAUGUUCGACGUAAAAUUUUUAGAUCGUGCCAUCGUUUGACUUUUUCCUUGUAUAUCUUGGCAUUCUCAAAGGCUAGAAGGCGAAACUCGUCUAGUUCAUUCAACUAAAGUAGUCUCUUCUCUCCUACAGUCUUUUGAUCAAAAUUUAGCUUUUUCACUGCCCAAUAUGCCUUAUGUUGUAGUUCUACCGGUAAAUGACAUGCUUUCCCGUACAACAGUUGAUAUGGUGACAUCCCGAUCGGUGUUUUGUAUGCAGUUCGAUAGGCCCAUAGAGCAUCAUCCAAUCUAAGUGACCAAUCUUUCCGACUCGGGUUCACCACUUUCUCCAAUAUCUUUUUAACUUCUCUGUUCGAUACCUUAGCUUGUCCACUUGUUUGUGGGUGAUAUGUUGUGGCUAUCUUGUGGUUCACUCCAUAUUUGGCCAAAAGAGCAGUGAACGAUUUAUUGCAGAAGUGACUACCUUCGUCACUUAUAAUUGCUCUUGGUGUGCCAAACCUCAUGAAUAUGUUCUUUUGCAAAAAUUUGAGGACCACUCCGGCAUCGUUUGUUGGUAUAGCUGCGGCUUCGACCCAUUUUGACACGUAGUCCACUGCGAGGAGAAUGUAUUGAUUAUUCAUGGACGAUGGAAAUGGUCCCAUGAAAUAGAUACCCCAUACAUCAAAAAGUUCCACUUCCAGAAUCGUUUGUAAGGGCAUCUCAUUACGUUUCGAUAUGUUACCCACUCUUUGACACCUAUCACAUUGUUUGACAAACUGAUGGGCAUCUUUGAAUAAUGUGGGCCAAUAGAAACCGCAUUGUAGCACCUUUGCUGUUGUUCUCUCGCUUCCAUAAUGCCCACCGUAUGCCGAUGAGUGGCACUCAUGCAGAAUAUUAUUUACUUCGCUGUGUGGGACACACCGUCGAAUCACCUUGUCGGCACACUGCUUAAACAAGUAUGGAUCAUCCCACAUGUACCAUUUAACAUCGUGCAAAAAUUUCUUUUUUUGUUUCCUUGUGAGGUCAGUUGGUAGAAUGUUGCUCACAAUGAAAUUUUCAUAGUCGGCAUACCAUGGAAUCUCUGUUGAAAUCUCAAAUAGUUGUUCAUCCGGGAAUGAUUCAUUGAUUUCGCAUUUGUCGUCUUUUUCUUUCCCUUGGUUGUCCAGCCUUGACAAGUGAUCUGCUACUUGGUUUUUCGUCCCCUUCUUAUCCUUUAUUUCUAAAUCAAAUUCUUGCAGGAGGAGAAUCCGCCUGAUAAGGCGUGGUUUUGCACCAUGGUCAGUAUAGACUAUCACCUUAGUUCCGAUUAAGUAAGCACGAAAUUUGUCAAACGCAUAUACUACGGCAAUCAACUCCUUCUCUGUGGUUGUGUAGUUCAAUUAAGUUUCUAUAAGUGUUUUUCUUGUGUAAUAUAUAGCGUGAAACACCUUGUCUCUACGCUGACCCAAAACUGCUCCAAUCGCGAAGUCUCUUGCAUCACACAUAAGCUCGAAUGGCAUGCUCCAAUCCGAUGCAACUAUAACUGGGGCUGUAGUCAAUUUCCUUUUUAAUAACUCAAACGCUGUCUUGCAGUCUUCAUCAAAGCUGAAUGUCUCAUCUUUCUCUAACAGACUACAUAGAGGUUUCACAAUUUUUGAGAAGUCCUUUCUAAACCUUCUGUAGAACCCGGCGUGUCCCAAGAAACUCCUAAUACCCUUCACUGAGGUUGGUGGAGGCAAUUUUUCAAUUGUUUCCAGCUUUGCCUUGUCAACUUCCAAUCCUUGAGCUGAAACCUUAUGGCCCAAAAUUAUGCCCUCUUCAACCAUGAAGUGGCAUUUUUCCCAGUUCAGAACGAGAUUCGUUUCCUCGCAUCUUUGCAGCACCAUUACCAGAUUCUUCAAACAAUUAUCAAAGCUAUCCCCAUGUACUGAAAAGUCAUCCAUGAAGACCUCAACAUUUUUCUCCACCAAAUCGAAAAAAAUUGCCAUCAUACACCGUUAGAAAGUCGUUGGUGCAUUGCAUAACCCAAAUGACAUCCUCCUGAAUGCAAAUGUACCGUAAGGGCACGUGAAUGUGGUCUUUUCUUGGUCAUCUGGAGCAAUGACUAUUUGGUUAUAUCCCGAGUACCCAUCCAACAAAUAGUAAUAUUAAUGUCCCGCUAAUCUAUCUAACAUUUGGUCAAUAAAGGGCAUCGGGAAAUGGUCUUUUUGGGUUGCCUUGUUCAAUUUUCUGUAAUCCAUGCAAACCUGCCAACCCGUCACUGUUCUGGUUGGGAUUAAGUCAUUGUCUUCAUUCUGCAGCACCGUCAUUCCUCCUUUUUUCGGUACACACUGGACUGGACUGACCCAUUUACUGUCAGAUAACGGAUAGAUGAUGCCGGCAUCUAACCAUUUCAGAACUUCCUUCUUUACCACUUCCUUCAUAAUUGGAUUGAGUCGCCUCUGUUGUUCUACUGUUGGUUUUGCCUCAUCUUCCAUCAAAAUUUUGUGCAUACAAAAUGAAGGGCUGAUUCCGUUGAUGUCUGCAAUUAUCCAUCCAAUGGCUGAUUUGUGUUCCCUAAGCACCCUCAGCAACUUUUCUUCCUGCAAUUCGUUAAGUGCAGUUGAAAUAAUAACAGGUAAAGAAUUUAAAUUGCCUAAAUACGCAUACCUGAGGUGCUUAGGAAGUGGUUUAAGUUCCAGCUUUGGUGGCUCCACCAAUGAUGGUUUGAACUUUUCUGCAAUUACCUCCUCCGUAUGCAAUGGUUCAAAUGGUGGUCUAAAUCUUGGUACACGCGGCAAUGAAUCUAGCAAUUGAAGGUAGUCCACCAAUUCUGGAUCGUUGAUCUCUUCAUCUCCCACCAAUGUUGUUUCUAACGGAUCAUUCACUAAACUUUUGCUCAUGUCCUCACUAAUGAUUUGAUCAAUUAAAUCCAUUCGAAAACAUUCUUCCUCAUCUGUAGGGAACUUCAUGGCCUUAAACACAUUGAAUUUCACUUCUUGAUCUUGAACCCUCAUCGUGAGUUCUCCCUUUUGAACAUCUAUAAGAGUUCUCUCUGUAGCCAAAAAUGGUCUCCCUAAGAUAAUUGGUUGUUCUUGUCCUCUUCAAAAUCCAGUAUGAUGAAGUCCGCGGGGAAUAUAAAUUUGUCCACUUUCACUAAAAUGUCCUCUACUAUGCCUCUCGGGUAUGUGACUGACCUAUCCGCCAACUGUAAGGAGAUGUUAGUAGGCCUUGGAUCGGGCAAACCUAAUUCUAAGUACACUGACAACGGCAUAAGGUUUACACUUUCCCCCAAAUCACAUAGACACUUACUAAAAUGCCUCUCACCGAUCGUGCAUUGAAUCGUAAAGCUCCCCGGGUCCUUGAGUUUUUGUGGUAAUUUCUGCUAUAGUACGGCACUGCACUCCUCUGUUAAUGCCACAGUUUCAAAAUCUUCCCAUUUCUUUUUCCUUGAUAGAAUCCCUUUCAUAAAUUUUGCAUAACUAGGCAUUUGUUCUAGGGCUUCUGCAAAUGGUAUGUUAAUUUGAAGUUUCUAGAAAACUUCCAAAAAUUUUGAAAAUUGCUUAUCUAACUUUUGUUUUUGAACUCUUUACUGGAAUUGUGAGGGAGGAUAAACAACUGGUUUGUUCACGGGGUUGAUUUUAUCCGUUUGGUUCUCGUUUCCUUGCUUUAUCUCACCCCCUGUAUUUUCUGCCUCUGUUGCACUUUCCUUUGUAACUAAAAUUUCUGGCUCUUGACCCACAGGCUGUUUUCCACUUCUCAAUAUAAUGGCUUGACACUGCUCGUGAUUACCCUUAGGAUUUUUCUCGGUGUCACUUGGCAGUGUUCCUUAUGGUCUACUAUUCGAUUCCCUUGCUAUCUGACCCACUUGAAUUUCUAGAUUCUUAAUCGCCAACUGGGUAGUAGCCAUGAAUUUAUCUAACUUAUCCUCUAAAACAUGAUAUUGAACUAGUUGUUGUUGAUUAUGGAAACCUAGAGGAUAUGAUUGUCGUGAAGCUUGAUUCUGUUGGUUGUUGCUCCAUGAAAAAUUUGGAUGGUUCCAAUUUCCUUGGUUAUAUGUGUUCUGAUAUAUGUUUUGAGGAAUUCUGUGGUAAUUGCCAAUGAACUGCACAGCUGCAGGGUUAAUUACACAUUGCUCCGUUGGGUGUUCUCAUGCACACAACUCACAUACUAUUGCUACUUGCGGUGCUUGCUGUGUUUGCUGUGUUUGUGCUGCUACCACUUGCUCCAACUUCUUUGACAUUGCAACCAUCUGUGCUUGUAUUGCUGUCAUAUUAUCAACUUCUAAUACCCCAACCGCCUUUGCCUGUGUCAUUCUCGAUGUGGGCCACUGGUAGUUAUUAGAAACCAUGAUUUCAAUCAAUUCGUAGGCUUCUUCGUAACUCUUAGCCAUAAACGCUCCGCCCGAUACUGCAUCGAUACUUGUCCUAAGAUUCCCAUGUAGUCCGUUGUAGAAGGUGUUCAUUUGUAGCCAUUGGGGCAAUCCAUGAUGUGGACAUUUUUUGAGUAGUUCUUUGUAUCUCUCCCAUGCCUCAUAUAACGACUCCCCAUAAUGCUGUUCAAACAUUGUAAUCUCAUUCCUCAUCUUCGCAUUUUUCACCGGUGGGAAGAAUUUUGCAAGGAAUUUCUGAGCUAAAUCCUCCCACGUUGUUAUCGACCCCGAUGGUAAGGAAUGCAACCAACUCUUCGCCUUGUCCCGUAAAGAGAAUGGGAACAAUAGAAGUCUCACCGCCUCAUCUAAAACUCCAUUAAACCUAAAAGUAUCGCACAUUUCCAGCAAACUGACUAAGUGCUCGUUCGGAUCAUCGUUUGCCAAUCCCCCAAACUGAACUGAAUUCUGAAUCAUUUGAAUCAUCCCAGGCUUAAUUUCGAACGUGUUUGCUGCUAUUACUGGUCUUGUUAUACUUAAAUGCAGUUCCGUUACUUUGGGUAUUGUGAAGUCCCUCAAUGCUUUCCUAUCUUCGGCCGCCAUCACUAUUUCCUCUUCCUUUUUAGGUGUUUCAAAUUCUUGCCUCGUUUCAUUAAUCCACUUACUCAACCUCUGAAACCUUCUCUCAAUGUCGUCGUCAAAAGGCAGCAAGUCUGGAUUUUUAGACCGAGUUUGCAUAAACUAUGUACAACACCUGAAAUAAGAAGCACAAAACAAAAAUAAAAAUGUCUAAGUAAAACUGGAUUAAUUAAACUGAUAUUGUAAAAGUAUUAAGAAUUAUACUAAUUUUAUCCCCGGUAACGGCGCCAAAAACUUGUUGGGUAAAAUCUAUAAACGCACAACAUGCAAGUAUACGUGGUCAACAAGUAAUAAAGUGAUAAGUUGAGUAUCGUUCCCACAGAGAUUAAUUAGUAAAAUACCUUAACUUACAAUUACCAAUCUUCUAUUAACCCUGAUUUUAUUAAACAAAUCAAAUUCAAUGAUUAAAACUAAUGAAAAUAAAUUAAGAAUAAUUAAACUAACAUAAAAUAACCACGAAUACCAAAAUCUGAAUUUUCAAAUAAUUAAUGGAGAAUUAGACUUAUAAUUUCACCUUAAGCUUCACUUUGAUUUUAACACUUUUAUCCCAAUUCAACGCAUUAUCUCGGUUUAUUAAUCAAGAACACGAACGCAGUACUAACCACCUCUCGAGGCACUAAUACCAUAUUAACUUCAAUCCACAAUUAAGAUAGAAAUUCAUUAAACACCUUAAUCAACUAACCCACUAUAUCUCUAUGUGAAUUACAAUUAAAGAAGGUUGAAGAACAAGUUCUCUAUCCGAUUACAUGCGGUGUCAAGCAUAUCUCUACCUUAACACGAAUCAGGUUUAAGCUACUAACAAAAUCCUGAACACAUGCUAUAUCAACUAGGUCUAGAGUUGAAUAUCCUCUCUCAAUUACAUCCAACCCCACAAAGAAUUGUUGAUCAGGCAAUUCAUAGAUCCAAGCAUAAAUAUAGAUAAACUGAAGAUAACUUAUUAAAUUGGGAAUCAAAGCUUACAAAACCAUCGAUUCACUUAAAGAUCCAUCACAAGCCUAAAAAGUGAAUUAGUUCAUAAUAAAUGAAAUAGACGCUGAAUAAAUCAUAGAAAUCAUUCUUUCAAUUACAAAUAAUAAUCUAACACAAAGAAUAUUAGAAAACACCCUUUACGUAGACUAAAAUUACAAUUGUCUUGAAAAACUCUUCGAAAUACUCCUCCACUUUUGCUCUCCACAAGCUGACUUUGAUCUCUGUAAUCUCCUUAAUUUUUUCUUCUUUUGUGUUUGAUAGAGUAGUAUAUAUCCAGCCUAACACUCCAGCCACAAUCUUUAUUCAAUAGAGUUAUAAGACCAUACAAACAACUAAAAUUUGAGUCCAAAAGAAAGUAUAACUGCAACAGGACACCUCAAAUUUUCCCAACCCCCGCCCCAGCGGGGGUAUGUAAGCCUUAAGUGCCCGCCCCGGCAGGCUUGUGCUCUAUUUUGAACGAAUGCAGACCCCCCUCCCCGGCGGGGGUGUGAAAGUAUAAAAAGCCCGCCCCGGCGGGCUUGUCUCCUGCUAGUUGAUUUGGUAGAACCCCCCGGCCCCGACGGGGGUGUAAGGCUUAUUCAUGCCCGCCCCGACGGGCUAUCUUCCUGUUAAAUGGCUAUGCUGCAACACUGAGUUAUUUCCAAAUACACUCCUGUUGAGUUCCAAAUGCACCGAAUAUCUCCAAUAACACGUUCAAUGCCACAACCAUCAACCUACACAUAAAAUGACAUAAAACAAGUGAAAAUGCUCAUGAUCAAAAGAUUAUAACAGCGAAAUAAGCAUGAAUUAGAUAUGAAAUCGUGUAUAUAAAAUACACUUAUCACUGAACUGGGUUAACAUCAACAUUGUCGUUAUUGGUGGUUCCCUUAGUGGUUCUUUAUCGUGGUUGACGUCUUGGAGGCAUUUUAUGUUAAAAUACACUUAUUAGAUUAUUACUCAACUCCUUUAAGUAUUUUCUACUUAACUUGCGCCCCACAAAAGAAAUCAUCACAUAACACAUAACACUUUGAAUAAAUAAAAUAAUAACUUUUAUUCAUUCAUAAUCUUUCUGAAAACAUAAGAAUAAUAGCAUCACUACUAUUUACAUUACUUUCCUGAACUACUAAAGUUCAAGGACAACAACAUCAUCAUAUCCCAUCGAUUACAUAUCACUAGGGAUUUACAUAUUAUUUAACAUUUUAUUAAUCGCAUAUCAGGUACAUUUCCUACGAUGUCUUACUAAGAUACUGCGUAGCCUUACAACGCUCUUCCUCCAUGAUUCGAAACAUUAUUUUGCGGUCUAAUAUUAACGAUAGCAGCGUCUUGAACUGAAUCGGAUAACCCAUGACCCGAUCUUGAGCUCGAUUAAUCACGGUGUUGAAUACGUUAUUCAUCUCCUCCAUCUUCAUCCUCUUUGCUUGUGCGUCUCUCUCUGCUAUUCCGGCUCGUUGAUAAGCUUCCUCGUACGCGUCUUCGGCUCUUGCCCUCUUAGUAGAUUCCUCUUUCAACUUGUUCUUCAGCUCUGCAAUCUCUGCUGUCAUUUGUUCAUUCUCUUCUUCAGUGUGGACCAGCUUCUCUUCAACAUUAUUUAGACGUUCCUCUCGAUCCUGGAUCUCGUCAUCCUUCUGUGCCAUCGAGGUCUGUUGUUCAGCUACUAUCUCUUCCAACUCCUUGACAGUAUCCUGAAGUUCCACAUUGCGGUCGUAAACUUCAUCGUACAUAUGAGAAGCGAUCAAGUUUAGUGGAAUCUCUUCCUCCUCGUCCUUGUCAUCCUCAUUCGAUUGAGGCAGCUCGACGGGAUCCUCCUCAUCCGUUUUCGUAUCAUCAUCCUCAUCAGGUAAACCAUCCUGCUCAACCACUGUGACCAACAGAGAUGUUUCCCGUGGCAGUAGUUGUUCCCAAACUACCUGAAUAUCUCGAGGCUCUUCUUCCCUAGGCCUUUGGGAUCCUUCCUCCCUAGCCUGAAUGGAUUCUCCUACAUUAGCCAUCCUGACAACAAAAUUUUAAGUUUAAAUUACUAAUCAUUACUACUCAACACUCACGAGCACAUAAGUUACAAUCACAUAAGCACAUAAGUGUUUUAUUACUUCUUUCUUAACAACUCGUUAAGAGUUUAUCAUCGCUAUCUUUUCAAAAGUUACUUCCUAAGGCUUUUCCCCACCUAAAGUUCAUAACCUAAGGCUUUGAUACCAACCUGUGAUACCCCAAAAUCCAGGUACUUCAUUCCCACAAGAUUUGGUGUUCACUUAAUAAAAACAUGCAUGUCUAACUACCCAAUCAUAAUAAAAUUGAAUAAUAAACCUUCCCAUUAAAGGAUUACAUUAAUAAAAAUCUCUCAGGUUAUCUAACCUUCAAAUACAAACAUCAUAUACGAAAAACUAAAUAAGUUCAUUACAAUAAUUAAAAUGAAAUCUGACAACAAAAUGUCAACAUGAUUACAAGUCUUCAAUACUUGUUCAUAUUUCCAUUUACUUUACUGGUGCUAGGUACAUCGACCUUCUCAACUUUAGUUGUAAUAGUUAUAUAAGCAAGAGUGGGCAAACAAGACUCACUUGAAAUGACAAUGAAUAAAACUUUACAACAAUUGCCAGAUAAUAGGCUCAAUAGAACUGAACAAUAUGCUCUAUUAAUGAUAAUCAAAAUUCUGAAAUAUAUACAUUUGAGGGUCAUAAGAUCACGAACUAUGUCCAUAGUUAUAAGUAAUCUUUCAACUUAAACUUUAACAGUCAUAAGACUAUAGGGACUCCUCGUAUUUAGGGGGAUCACCCCUUCAUACAAUGUAUUGUGCACAAACAUUUCAAUGCUAUGCGUAAAUUAUCCCCUAAUAAUAGGGUUGUUCAUCUCAGCAUUCAGAAUAUGAGUCAGCACCAAAGUAAGUUUGGUUUGGAUAAGUUUCAAGGUAAUUUGGAAUUCAACGAACAUCAACUAUGGAGUAGUUGAAUAAAAAGGUAAUAACUUUAUGUUAUGGAAUAAAUCAUAACGGAAUCAACAUUGUAUACUAGGGUCAUGCUUUAGGAAUAAUCUAAGAGCAUAAACAUUGAAUAAUUAUAGCAUACCUUGCUUGAACAAUAUUAAGCCAAGGUUAUUUAGAAUUGAGUACUAAGCAUGCAUAACAAAUAGUAAAGUGAACGAUAAAACUUGUUCAACAUUAGUAUAUCAGAAUAUAUAAACGUGCAUGCUAAAUAACAAGUUAAAAACAAGAAUAACUUGCUCAAUAUCAGAAUAAUGUUUAGAAAACUUGCAUCAUCAUAAACAAACUAGAUACAAUAAACUUACUCAAUCAUAAGAAUAAAGUUUAGGAAACUUGCGUAAUUGUAAUUGAGAUAGGGUAAGUAAACUUGCUCAAUAAUAACAACGUUGAGUAAGAAACUUGCCUUGCGUGUAAGCUAAAUCGUAACAAUUCGAUUCACAAUAUCCUAUACACAUAUUAUCAUGACAUAAUUAGUCAUUACCAACACUCUAUAUAUAAAUAAGUAUUUACAUCAUGUAAGGUUUGAUUUUUAAUCACAUAAUCAAAUUACAUUAGUAAUAAAACUAGUAGCAUAUUAAAAAUAUGCUCAUUCUUAGUAUAGUAAUACUGAAAUCAUAUCUUAACAGUCCCUCUAUUAAAUCAUAACAACUUUUUUAGACUUUGUGUAACUAAAACACACUGUCUGACCAUUCUGCUAACUCGCACUGCGGCGCCACAGUUUACACUGUGGGCCAGCGCUACGGCUUGACUCUGGCGCUGCUGCGCGAGGCACAAGACAAUGCUUGGUGCUACGGCGCGAGAAUUGCACUGCUGGGCCGUGCUGCGGUGCCGAACUACAGUUCUCGGCGACCAGCCUCAACAACAACAUGAAUAAAGCCAAUUUUGGCCUACAAGCUACUUUCUAACAACUGAAUUAACACAUAAAACAUAUACAAACUUCACACAAACAUAAAUUAAGGACUCUUAACAUGAUUUCAACCAUAUAAAAAUAAAGACAUCGAAUUUAAAACAUCUAAUUUCACUAUUUUUUUGAUAAAACUUCACUUUUUGACAUUUUCAGUGAAAAUCAUCACUGUGAUUGUGUUUUUCAACAAAAACAGUUAAUUCAAAAUACCUUGUUUAUGUUUAUUCAUCCUCUUUAAAAUUCAAUUGUAAAUUUAUAUAUUAUACAGAGAAUUAAACCUUAAUUUUACUUUAAACUAAGCCAUAUUCAUAUAUAUAUAUAUAUAUAUAUAUAUAUUCAUACCAUUUCACUGUAAUAUGAUUUUCUUCACAAAAUACAUACAUAACAUGAUUGUAAUUACUAUACUCAUAUAUUAAACUUAUGAAAACAAUUUCAUAACAACUAGUUAUCACAUAGAAACUAUAUAACACAAAUAAUUUAACCCACAAAGUUUUUACAGAAAUUUUUUGGAAGAGAAUAAAACUAUAACUUUAAAGAAAUUCAAAAGAGUAAGAUGAUACAUUGUUGUCUAGAAGAUGAUAACCUUCCCUUUGAUCAACAAGCUUUCUUUUCCCCAAUUCUUCUCUCAAAACCUCUCUAGAAUUCUCUCAAGUUCUCUCUCAAUUUUUCUUCUUUUUCUUCUUCUGUGUUCUUCUUCUCUAUUCUAACUUACGUACUAAAAUAUAACGUAUAGGUAAUAAUAUAGGUAUUAAUUAUAUAAUAUAAUUAUAUGUAUAACUAAUAUCAGUUAUCUUAUUUUUAAAAUCAAAAGCCAUAAGGCUUGUUUGGCUAACUACUUUAAAAUUUAAUCAAUUGAAUCCUUAUGCCUUGUUUGGUAAAACAUAUUUAAAUUAAAGACUUAAUAUGCAUUAAGCCUUGUUUGGAAAAACUGAAUUAAUCUCCUUUAACUUAUUUUAAUAACUCCUUUAUAGCAUAGUUUAUGGUCACACUUUAAUUAAUUAAAUUUUAAUAUUCAAUUUAAUUAAUUCUAAUAACAAUUUAUUAAAUUAAUUCACCACAUAAAUCAAUACGACAUAAUUAUAAUUUUCUUUAUAAUUAUAAUUUUAUUUAAUCAACUAACACAUCAUUUUAAUUACAAAUUCACAUUAAAAUAUUAUUAUAAUAAUUCAUUUAAUCAUUAUAAAUUCUCUAACUUAAUUAUUAAAUUAAAUGAGAAUAUUAUCUCAAGAUGAUCAAUUUUCUAAACUCAUAAAUUAUUUAUUUAACAAAUAAAUAAUCAAAUCAAAUCACCUUAAACAAAUAUUUAUUCGAUUAAUAAACACUUCAAUUAAAAUAUUUAUAUAACUCAAUAAAUAUUUUGAACUAUAAUUUAAAAUUAUGGAUUGUCACAGAACACGCGAAGAACACGAAGAACGUUUUUCAUGGACAAAUUUAAAACCAUCGUAGUAUAAUUGUUGUUGAUGGACAAGUUUAAAACCAUCGAGUAUAAGUUAGAUGCUUAUUUCUUGGUUAGGAACGGUAGAAACGUUCAUGAAGAAUGGAUUAAACUUAGCUAUAACGAAGUUAUGGCAAAAAUUUCAUAAAAGACGAAUGAGAAUUAGAAAGUUAGUAAAUGAACCCGAAUGUGUGGGGUUUCAUAAGAAUGUAAGAGUACGUAGAAAACACGAGUCAUGGACUCAAGAACGAACGAGUUUCGAGUUCGGAUGACCGAAUUACGGACGAAGAACGAAGAACGUUAAUAACGUAAAACGAGCGAAUGAUGAAGGAAGAGAAUGGCUUUGCAAUGACCUCGUUUCGAGUUAUAACGAAUAAGUUAUGAGAUCAAGAAGAAAGCGUCUCAAAACAUUUUAAUACUUAGAAAUUUUUUUAAGAAUAAGGGCUUGGCGCCGCGGAGUCAGCCAUGCUUUGUAAGGUGGCGCCGCAGCUCCAGACCGAGGAAUUGGACACUGGAAACUCGCGCCGUAGCGCCAACAAUAGCAACGAGGGUGGCGCCGUAGCGCCAACCUAGGAAAUCCAGUACUGCAUAGUGGCGCUGCAGCGCAAGGAUUGUGAAUGGAACCGGCGCCGCAACGUCGGUGCAGGGAAAAGCCUAGUGAUGAGCUUUUAACUACUCAAAUCCUGGGGGAAGUGUAAUGAAAGCUAAUGAACGUGUAGUUCAUCGAAUGUAACACUUAAUCAAAUGAAUUCACUACCAAAAAUCUGGGCAUCUGAGACGGAUAAAAUCCGUCUCAAAUACAGUAAAAUCCGUCUCAAAAUCGAUUUUGAGAUGGAUUUUUAGACGGAUGUUGGUCGUGUCAGUUGGGACGCGUCGCUAAUUAUGCUCGUCUCAAAAUCCGUCUCAAAACAGGAAAUUAGAUACGGAAAAUUGCCGCCUCAAAUCCGUCUCAAACCAUCUGAGACGGACAUAGUCCGUUUCAAAUUCGUCUUAGAGCUAACCCAUGGGGAGCUGAAUUUUGAAACCGAUUUUGCCGGUUUCUGAUUUGGCGGGAAGAUUUUAGUUCACGUAAGUUGAGACGGAAAAAGUCGUUUCAAAUCCGUCUCAAAAUAGGUAGCAACUAUUUAUUUUACACAUAUUUUGAGACGGAUACCAUCUGUCCCAAUCCCGUUUCAACUUUGACGCCAAUAUCGUUUUAGCGCACAUAUUUUGAGACAGGCUGCAGCCGUCUCAAAAUUUUUGUCAACUUUGACGUCAACAUCGCAAAUUCUUUGAGACGGAAAGAAGUCGUCUCAAUUCCGUCUCAAUAUAUUUAUUAACAACAAAUUAUAAAUAUUUUCAUAAUUUAAUUUCAAAAUCUAAAAAUAAAUAUGUUCAAAAUAAUAAUGAUAAUUACUAAACUGUUAUUUAUAGACAAUACUAGAUAAGACAUCUAUCGAUGAGUACUAUUACAAAUAUUAACAUACUACAAGUCUCACCAAAUACAACAAAAGUAACUUCUAAAAACUACUGCUUUAAAGCUCAAAAAUAUGCAUAAUUACACCAUCAUAUCCCAUCCUCGAUGGUAAACAAAAGUAACUUCUAAAAAAUACUACCUAAAAGAUCAACAUGCAUAUAUAAUCACGAGUCUCCAUCCUCGUUACUAUCGCCUGAAUCUUCAUCAUGCUCAUCCUCGACAUCAACAUCCUACAAGUAGUAGUACAUGGAAUGCAUGUCAAAUUUAUGAAAUGAAUGCAUGCAUUCUAAACAUAAGACUAAGAAAACUGAUUAUAUAUUAUGGUCUAUGAACAAACAUGAGAAACUCGCAGAUUGCACCUAUUUUAAGCAAUAAUCUCAGCACAAGUUUAUACAUAAGGUGCAAUAAAUAGUACUACACCAACGAAAUGAGAAACCAUAUAUAUGUAGGUAAUAAAACCUAAAGCAUGUAACACGUAAACUGCAAUCACAUUUGGGGUCAGAAAAAUAACGUAAUAAAUAUAAGAUAACUUGAUAGGAUAACUAUAUAUAUAUAUAUAUAUAUAUAUAUAUAUAUAUAUAUAUAUAUAUAUAUUCGUUGCUACCAACCUAGUAAUAUAAGAUAACUGGAGCAUGGCAGAGAGGUCUUAUGGGACCUUACACUCUGUUCAGCAAAUUUUAAUUUUGGCAUAGGUAGAAUACAAGUUUUGGUGAUGUCAUGCCGAAUCUGCUUCUUUAAUUCAUGUAUGACUUGUGUCAAAUCUAUUUUUUAAGUGUAAUAUAUGUUAAUAUUACACGCCAAUUUUAGUAUGUUGAACUUACUUUCUCAUAUAAAUUUCUUUGCAGGAAAAUCUACAAGGAAAGGUUACACAACUGAAUGGCUUUACUACUUAUUUUGUACGUGUGGUCCCCUCUAAAGUUGAUGGCUUCCCCACACGAGUGUACAAGGAUUGGAGAAGUUUCAGGAUGUAAUGUAUUUGAAUUAGCAUGAAGGCUUGUGCAAUGGUUUUCUACUGAAUUGCAUCCAUAUUUUUUUUCACUAAAAUACACUUUGGUCUUAAUUGUAUCGUUUAUCUUUAUUAUUAUUUUCUUUUGGACAAGUUCAUGUUGCAUGUAUCGUUUGACCAUUAUGUUGGUUUUUUUCCCCAUAAAAGUAAUUUAAAAUAGUUCAAAUUGCAUUUGGUAUUAAUAGCAUUCAACGAAAUGAGAAACCAUAUAUAUGCCUAGACUUGCACUGAAUUCUAAAUUAUUGAAAAAUGAAGACAAUACUAGAAUACUGGGCAAGAAAAAACACUUACAUCGCUAUUUGGAAGAUUCAACGACUUUUCUCUCAGUUUCCUCAUCCCUUCUUGAAAUUGCUUUUGCAUAGCCCCUUCCAAUUAUUUUUGUCUUGCAUCCAUCAUAGCUUGAAAUUGGGGGGUCUCCAUCGCAGCAAGGAUCAAAGAUUGCAUAUCAGGUGAUGUAGGUGAGGGAGUGAAGCAAGAUGUAGAGGCAUUUGUAGAAAUCGAUUCACUGAACCCACUUGCUUUUAGAUCCUCAAUCGAACCGAGACCAAACACUCGUCCCUUUUUAAUACCACCUGAAGCCUCUGUCCAUAAAUCCACAUCAAAAAUAGGUUCAUUACUUCUGUACUUUUGACUAAUAUCACUUUUAUAUUUUUCCUGAUAAAAGGUAUUGAAUGAGCCAAGUUUAGAACAUAAUAUGUCAAACAUGUAUAAUUGACAAUACACAAAGCUUAUAGGUACACACUUACUCCUACUUUUCUUGCCUUGUCAUUACAAUACACACCGUCCUUUGUGUGUGUUAAAUCAAACACCUCGAUGAGAGUAGGUUUAGUUUUCUUCUCAUUUUCCUACCUUCACGGAAGCACAAGCACAAUAAUCAAACAUUUUUAAUUAUAUUAAAGCAACCAUAACAAAAAAUACUUACAAGCUUUUUUGCGUGACUUAUAAAAGGUAUUGACCCUCCAACAUGGUUAAGUGUUCCACCUUUCUUUUGGUUUGUAGAACCAGAAUAUGAAAUUUUUUACCAACUUUCCUUAUUCCAUCCUUCACAAAAAGAGACCCAAUAUUUUUUCUUCAUGAACGAGGGUGGGUACUCGGCCAUUUUUUUUAAAAUUGUAAGUUGUAAGCCCUGUUUUUUUCUUUGCCUCGUCUCUUGCCUUUUUCAUUAAAUCUUUAUAGCGUAUAGCACAAACCUGCUCCCAAACCUUUCUUGCCUUUUUAUUCUCUACUUCAUUACUAAAUUGAUACAUCUCUUCAAAUUCAGCCCAUAACUCAUUCUUGAGGUUUUUUGCCACUGAUAACCAAGUCAGAUAUGGCCCCAUUUGAUUUUUUAUAGAACUAACAAUUUGUCGUACCACAGAAUUGGGCUGAAAUCUACAAACACAAAUAGAAAUUAUUAUUUAUUAUAAGCUACAUUAUAUAAAGAUAAGCAGAAAUAUGGUAAUAAGAGCUCUACCAACUGAACUAGCCUGGAUUAUAAUGAUUAUUGACUACAUUUGUUGUGGGUAAGAGGUUAAUUAAAAUUGCCCUAUCUGCUAAGAAUAAGAUGUCAAUCACUGAUAGCAUACAGUUUGUUGACAAUGCUUUUUCUGUUUGGACUGAAUUGAUUGAGAGGUUCUCUGGUGUUGGUGGAUAUAAAAAAUUAAUGUAAUUCUUGAUGGGCUUACAUGAUAGCUUUGCCACAGCAAUAUGUCAAUACUCAUGAUGAGUCCAUUACCAACAGUGACACAUGCAUAUUCCUUGAUAAAGCAGGAUAAAAAACAAAGGCAAGGACACCAAACUGGUAAUAUUAGUACUGUUAUGGGCAUCCAGUUCAAAGAAAUAGAGGCAAGGACACCUACUCUUUAGGAGGGUAUAUAUGUUGACCACUAAUAUACGAAGACUUUAUUAAUUCAUGGCUAGCAUGUUAUUGACACUUAACAUUGUUACUGGAUAGCUAAUAAUGAGCUAAAAUUACUUCCCACCUUGCAAAGCUUAAUAGCUUAUUGUAGUUUAUCUGAGUUGCUAGAUCACUGAGCUAACAUUGUUACUGAAUGUAUUCUCCCUUUGUUGACCACUAGUAUAUAUUGAUAUAUAUGGUUUUGUAUAUAUAUGUUUACCAUUAAUUGGUUUAAUUGACCACUAAUAUAUAUAAACUGGUCCUAAACUAAACUAAGCAACUUCACAUGGUCAACAACUUAAUAUAUGUUGGUAACUGAAUCAUAAGGAGGUUGAGUAUAAAAGAUCAAGAAGGCUAGACAUGACUUCUUUUCGCCAUUACAGGUGUAAAGAAAAGCUGGAGAUGGACCUGCUUCAUCGGUGUUAUUGCAGUCAUAAACCAAAGACCCUGAGUACAUUUGUUGGGCAUUGAAAGCUGAAGUCAAAAGGCCAAGGAAUAUGAAAAAAUUUAGUGGAAACUGAUACAUGGUGAACUAUUUUCUUGAAUAGAACUAAUUCCAGUUUAGAAGUGUGCAGAGUUCACUAUUGUGUACUUAUGACAUUAACUUCAGUUUGAUCAAGACUGAGAACAUGCAAUGGAAGGGAAAAAAAUAGAAGUACCUAGUACCAAGUAUGUGAAUCACCUCCCUAUCCUCUGGAUUCUCAAGCGCAUCUUUACUAUAAUUAGCUCCCCUCCUAGCACUAAUACCCUGGACACCUGCACAGUUUUAUAAAUAAGUAAG
rnacentral:lncRNA from 1 species